rnacentral:tRNA from 1 species
UCUCUGGUGGUCCAGUGGCUAAGAAGCCAUGCUGCUAAUAUGGGAGGUCCAGGUUCAAUCCCUGGUCAGGGAA